rnacentral:rRNA from 1 species
UACGGGGGGGGCAAGCGUUGUUCGGAAUUACUGGGCGUAAAGGGCUCGUAGGCGGCCAACUAAGUCGGAUGUGAAAUCCCCAGGCUCAACCUGGGAACUGCAUCCGAUACUGGAUGGCUUGAAUUCGGGAGAGGGAUGCAGAAUUCCAGGUGUAGCGGUGAAAUGCGUAGAUAUCUGGAGGAAUACCGGUGGCGAAGGCGGCAUCCUGGACCGAUAUUGACGCUGAUGCGCGAAAGCCAGGGGAGCAAACGGG